CUUUAGAUUUUCAAACUGUAAAUUUGAAAUAUAAAGGUAAUUUUGUCGGAAGA
rnacentral:tRNA from 1 species